UCCCAGAUGGCUCAGUGGUAAAGCAUCUGUCUGCUAAUACAGGAGUCGCAGGUUCGAUCCCUGGGUUGAGAA
rnacentral:tRNA from 1 species